rnacentral:rRNA from 1 species
CAGCGCCCCAAGUGGCAAUCGCGUUUAUUGGGCCUAAAGCAUCCGUAGCCGGCGCUGUAAGUUUUCGGUUAAAUCUGUACGCUCAACGUACAGGCUGCCGGGAAUACUGCAGCGCUAGGGAGUGGGAGAGGUAGACGGUACUCGGUAGGAAGGGGUAAAAUCCUUUGAUCUAUUGAUGACCACCUGUGGCGAAGGCGGUCUACCAGAACACGUCCGACGGUGAGGGAUGAAAGCUGGGGGAGCAAACCGGAUUAGAGACCCGAGUAGUCC